GACGAACGCUGGCGGCGUGCUUAACACAUGCAAGUCGAACGGAAAGGCCCUGCUUUUGUGGGGUGCUCGAGUGGCGAACGGGUGAGUAACACGUGAGUAACCUGCCCUUGACUUUGGGGUAACUUCAGGAAACUGGGGCUAAUACCGGAUAGGAGCUCCUGCUGCAUGGUGGGGGUUGGAAAGUUUCGGCGGUUGGGGAUGGACUCGCGGCUUAUCAGCUUGUUGGUGGGGUAGUGGCUUACCAAGGCUUUGACGGGUAGCCGGCCUGAGAGGGUGACCGGCCACAUUGGGACUGAGAUACGGCCCAGACUCCUACGGGGGGCAGCAGUGGGGAAUAUUGCACAAUGGGCGGAAGCCUGAUGCAGCAACGCCGCGUGCGGGAUGACGGCCUUCGGGUUGUAAACCGCUUUCGCCUGUGACGAAGCGUGAGUGACGGUAAUGGGUAAAGAAGCACCGGCUAACUACGUG
rnacentral:rRNA from 1 species